AAAUAAAUCCUUUUUCUAUAUUUUUAGUAGAUUGGACAAAGACGGUGUGCCUUUUCUGGGGGUCCCAAAUUGAAGAUUUGCAUAUCCCUCAAAGAACAUAACAUUACAGACGGUUAUCCAGUCAUUGUCACUUCCAACAGGAAUAGCUGUUGAUUCAAUCAAUGAACAUAUCUACUGGACUGAUGCUCGUACACACAGACUCUCAAGAUGCAAUCUAGACGGAAGCAAUAUGACAGUGUUGUUAACUCUUAGUUCUCCUUGGGUGUUAAGAUUUGAUGUUAAAAACAGGUGGAUGUAUAUAGUUGAACGGCAGUUUGGAAUAUCAAAGUCUAGAAUUGAUUUAUCCGAAAAACAGACGAUCGUUAACUUUGCACCACUAUAUGUUUCUUGUAUGGAUAUAGACACUGAUGAACAAAUAGUGUAUUGGAUUAAUCACAGUGGUGAAAUGAAGUCAGCUAAUGUUGAUGGUUCUGAUGUUACAACAAUCAUUUCAAUUAAUCGUUCUGGAUCUAUUUACUAUGCUAUAGGCGUUUUUGGUGGCUAUAUUUACUAUGCAAAAGACAGUCAGUUGUUAAUACUGGAUAAAACACAAGGAUCAACGCCGACUGUUCUGCAUAAUGAUAUCAGCAGAAUUAACAGUUUAUUUUUAUUUAAGCAAUCAGGUAUGUAAAUAAUCGGUCAACAAUAGGUAUUAUCAUAGACCAACUGGGUUACACCUCAGUAUAAAAGCAUACUUAGUUUUUGUACAAACAAUUUUAAAAAGACAUUAGCUACGAGAUAUAAAAAAAUUAGAAUAUGAUUGUUUUGUUCAAUCAUGAAGGAAAGUGAAAUAGUUAAAUAAUAAUUCACUUUAAGCAGCCAGUUUGGUUCAAUUUUGUCAUAAUAAGCUAAGAAAUAUCGCUAAUGAAUUAUUCACUUGCAAGUCCAUACAGUCCUUGGAUGGUGUAAACUUCCCACUAAAACCAUAACCAUACACCAUUCACCAUACGCUCUUACAGCAUACACCCUGUACCAUUACACCAUACACGUUACACCUGUGCACCAUACACCUUACACAAUACACCAUAAUGCAAUUUAAUUUAAAAAAAAAGCGUGCGACUACAACAUUAUUUAUUUAUUUUAGAAAACGAAUGUUCAUCACAAUAUUGUAAAUUAAUGUAUAAAAUUAAAAAUCAGUUCUUAUCAAUAUUUUGCAUAGUUUUAAAUGUCGUACACCAUUCCUGAUCGCACGUUACACCAUUACACCAUUCCCCUUACACCAUACACCAUAGCACCAUACACCUUCUACCAUUACACCAUAUGCCAUACACCAUUACACCAUACACGUUUUUUUGGGAAGUUUACACCAUCCAAGGGCUGUACUUCGAUCUCAUUGAAUCCGUAUCCAUGUAACCAUAUUUGAUCCUAAGCUAGAGUUGGGUUACGCAUAAGUUAAGCGUCUUCAGUUAUUAAAAGGAAAAGCAUGUCAACAUUGAAAGUGAAACAAGGGUAAGCAAUUUGAUUGACUGAUUCGAUCAACAAAAACUGAUUUUUGUACAGGUAAAAACGUUGAUUAGCAUAUUUUUUUCACCUAUAAUGUAAAACUUACAAGACCUAGCAAAAUCCAAUUGCACGAGUUUGCUAUCUAGUAAUAUAUAUGUUUAUGUCUAUAUCGGGCUAUAUGACCGUCGACACUCUUCGGAGGUUACCUCGAUGGUUAAUUAGAUGGCCUGUAGGCUAAAAUACACACAAACACUGAUACAUAUUAUCAGACACUGGCAUUGUAAAUUGUUUAUUUUAUACUUUUUAUCAUUUAUAUAAAAUUGAGAAUGGAAACGGGGAAUGUGUCAAAGAGACAACAACCCGACCAUAGAGCAGACAACAGCCGAAGGCCACCAGUGGGUCUUCAAUGCAGCGAGAAACUCCCGCACCCAGAGGCGUCCUUCAACUGGCCCCUAAACAAAUAUGUAUACUAGUUCAGUGAUAAAGGAACAUUAGAUAUAUAUGUUUGAGCAUUUUGUAAAUCAAAUAUGAGAAUUUGAGUCAAAUCGAUGCACAUGCAUUUGACAGUUAAUGUCCCUUUAAGAACGUUUAUUAGUCAUACAUUAUCUAUAAUUUGAACACGAAUGCAUUCAUUGUAAGUGGACGUAUUUCGACAGAAAAGGAAAACGUAUACAUUCAUGAGACUGGAUCUAGAAACUAACAAUUUCAAAAUAAACACUAUUAAAAUAUUAUCAGUUUAUUAUUUUAAAGCCUUUCAGAAUAACUGUGACUGAUAAUGAUUUACACCUAAUUAUUUACACUUUAGUAGUAUAUGGAUGAAAAUGAUACAUGUAUAGCCGUUAACACCGUGAUUCGUAUAUUUUGUGACCAACAUGUACAUAAAUCAGCGUAAAUUCGGUUUACCUUCUGAUUAAAUUAAAAUAUGAAUACCACUUCGCAAACUCAUCCUACAAUGCCUUUAAAAUCUUCAAACACGUGUAGUAAAGCAUAACUUAUUUUUGUGCUAUAAGAACACAUGAAUUAAAUAGGAUACAGUCUCUGAAAGCAAUCAAACAUUAGAUAUGACAUAGACACUGGUUUUAGAUAAUUAACCCGUUUUCAAUCAGUUGUAAAAACUUAAACAACAAUACUUUGAGUAAUAAUUGAAAUCAAUGUUCUUUUUUUAAUUGUGUAUUCACAUAUUUAACAAAUAUUGAUGCAACAUUGUCUGACAUGUGUUUUUAAAAUGAUUUCUAAUUGCUUGAUGCUUUUUUUUAUAUAAUCAGCUUUUACUCAUAUGUAAAUACAUGUAGCUAGUUAUUCUAACCAACUGUAAUUGCAUAUGUUCAUCCCAGUGUUGCCUUAAUGUGUUGCAUACAUACUAUUAAUGUUAUGUAUUUAUUCUUUAAGGUUCAUGUUAUAUAAUAUUGGUUUCACAAAUAACACGUUUUAACAGUGGUUUUUUUUUAUCUAAAUAAAGUAAAUUUGUUUUAGCUGAAUAUAUGUUUGUUUACAUUUAUUCACUUUUUAUUCAUUAUCAUGAUUAUAAUGUAUGUUGACUUUUUAUAUAAUACUUUUAAAAUACAGUGUAAUACAUGUUAUUGUUGUUAACGUGACAACAAUUAAUAAAAAGUAAUUUCAGUGUUCACGACUGAAUUGUUAUUUAUAAAGUUGUACAACACAAACACGAGGUAUGUAAAUGAUCUUUUCAAUGAAAUAUACUUCUUAUGCCUAUAAGUAUCAAAACAAAACGAUGCGGUAUGAUUGCCACUUUGAGAUAACUCCCCACUAGAGACCACAUAACGUAAAGUCUUUUUUAUUGAAUAUCAUUAUGUUUUAAAAUCAAUGGUAAUCAUCAAAUCUUACUGUUCACAUAUUUUUUUUAAUGAUUUAUACUUACUUUCUACAAACCAUUAAACUUCUUGUCGAAGUCAUAGAAGACGUAAACAAAAAUAUAUAAAACAAACUCUGAUAGAUAUAUAAAUUCUUUUCUUUUCAUUUUAAUAGAUGUCACCUAAUAUGAUACAGCACCAUAAAUAGAGGACUGAAUUCAGGAUGAAAUGUAUAAAUCUUAGAGGCAGCAAAUGGAAAUGGGUAAACUGUUGAUGAUUAACUGACCGAAUAAGUUGUUGGUAAAGUUUUGAUGCCGAUAUCUAUCUACUGAAACACGCUCAGAAUGUUUCCAAACUUUAAAUGUGAACAUGGUGAAGCUGACUAGUCAAAGUACUGCAAACAAGUGUUUUCUGACUCCCUAAAGUUAAACAAUGUCAACGAAAGGCUUUCACGUAUUUGAGUCGAAAUCAAGAGUGAACUAAUGAUGUAUGCAUUAUACAAUCAACUAAAGUAUGGAUACUUUACACCCCCAUUAUCUUAAGAUUAAUCAGCCCGGUAGUUUACUCGCAUGAUCUAAACUAGGAAAAGAACGAAUAGACCGGAUGAUAUGUCGCCCAUGAUAAAAAAAAACAAUCGAUAGGAUGUUGUCAAUGAAACAACAACUCCGAAAGAAAUUGGUAGCCCUGUUGGUAUUUAAAAAGAUGUCAUGCAAACGAACAUUUUUCAGUCUACGGAUUGCUCUAUGUGCUACAAAAACUAGACAAGUUUAUUUAUAAUCGGUCUUUGUACUGUUUAACUUUUAGGUCAAUUUCAACUAGACAUGUGUUAUGCAUUUAAUCUGUCCAUACUAUGCAAUUAAUUUUGCAGGAAUGUUUAUAUUUAGAAUAGCAAACGGAGGGGCUAUUAUUUCACUUAAAUGAUAAAUGAAAUAAUCUAUUAAUUUCCCGAUGAUCCCGGAUAUCUAUAUUUGAUAUAGCGAAAGAGAAAGCUGGAGUUGUCAAUGAAGUAGUAAAUAGAUUUAUUAAAAUAUGUUCCAUUGAACUAAUAGUGUUGCUUAGAACAAAGUUAUACAAUUAGUUAAUCAAAUUUCUUGUCUUUUUUUAUUUAAUCUUUACACACAAUUCAGCUGAUACAUUUUAAUUUUGAAAAAAAAAACAACAUUUGAACACGGAGAUAAAGUAUGUUAUCACACAUGUAGACGUUUACAAUAGCACAUGUUUAUCUUAAUCUUUAUAAAUCAAAUUAUAUCUGCAAUUUGUAUCAUCAAGAUGCAUUAUGUAAGGUAAUCUAAAAUUAUGAACAUUUCGAAAUCAUCAACUGACAUUGCUGCAACAAGUAAUUUUUACUAUAAAUUUUCACUUCUUCGUACUAUGACCAUCAAAAUUAUUUAUUUUGUAAAAAUAUUUCCUUUCUCCGUUUGAACUAUACACGUAUACCUAACAACAGAAUUAUUUGCAUGUACAUGUGUUUAUAGUAAUUGAAAAUGGCUGAUAUUUUUGUUCAAACAUAUUGUUUUUCUUAUAUUAUUUAACAUUUCACAGCGGUAUAACAUGUUACUUUAAUUAUUAUUCCCUUUGUUUAUUUAUUUUGUAUUUUCAUUGUACCAUAGAUCAAAUUUAUUUGUUCAGUGUAUGUUCACUGGUGUUAA